rnacentral:lncRNA from 1 species
CCUAAAUAAAAUGCAAAAAUAUAUAUGAGAUAGGUUUAAUAUAAGGGUCAAUGGGUGCAUUCAGUGAGAGAUCAAAUUCAAUAUUAAGAAUUCGACCAGCCAUGGAACGUUGCAUCAUAUUCACUGAACGUGGCAGAAUAGGUUGGUACAAUAUGAUUGACAAUACCAAGUUAGAUCUGCGAUGGGUCUGUGCAAAGAAAAAGAUUCAUCAUUGUAACAAAAAGGGUGAAAUGAUGAACCCUUUUCAUUUAUUUUCAAUGAAAAUCACUAAAAAAAAAUGUGCAAAAUCUUACCCUUGAUUAUUAAU